AUUGAACGCUGGCGGCAGGCCUAACACAUGCAAGUCGAGCGGAUGAAGGGAGCUUGCUCCUGGAUUCAGCGGCGGACGGGUGAGUAAUACCUAGGAAUCUGCCUGGUAGUGGGGGAUAACGUCCGGAAACGGGCGCUAAUACCGCAUACGUCCUGAGGGAGAAAGUGGGGGAUCUUCGGACCUCACGCUAUCAGAUGAGCCUAGGUCGGAUUAGCUAGUUGGUGGGGUAAAGGCCUACCAAGGCGACGAUCCGUAACUGGUCUGAGAGGAUGAUCAGUCACACUGGAACUGAGACACGGUCCAGACUCCUACGGGAGGCAGCAGUGGGGAAUAUUGGACAAUGGGCGAAAGCCUGAUCCAGCCAUGCCGCGUGUGUGAAGAAGGUCUUCGGAUUGUAAAGCACUUUAAGUUGGGAGGAAGGGCAGUAAGUUAAUACCUUGCUGUUUUAACGUUACCAACAGAAUAAGCACCGGCUAACUUCGUG
rnacentral:rRNA from 1 species